CUGAUUUGAGACUUUCUCUCCCUGCAGGCUAUUACAAAUAAGAAUAAUAAAGGAGACUAAUAAUGCACCAUGCUUGUUCUUUUAUUUGCAGAAAUGGCUGCUCUGUGGAUACCGCCGUUUGGUAAAGUAUUGUAGUUAGCUCAGAGCGAAUGUUUUCUUCAAGAUGGUGAAGGAGCUCUUGUGCUGAAGUCUUCACUGAGAUGGCGUGAUGUCUACUAGCAGAGAAUGGAGUCAUGCAGAGAUUGAUUGAGACGAUCUCUGAGAUACCCUCUUGAGGCCAAUCUAGACUGAAGAAGGACUAGUUAACUGUCAAGUGAGCCAUAUGACUCCCACUCCCACUACAGAUUCAACUGUUGAAAUGUUGAAGCGGUGUUGAGGCUAUAACUAACACUGUUUGAACUGAGACCACUUGAUUGAGAUGAUGACCUUUGAUCUUUGGAGGCGUACCAACACUUUUUGGACUAAGUGCCACCAGCUGAGGAAGAACUGUGGCAAGUCUAGCUAAAUGAGUCUCUGCGUCAAGUUCAACCACUCAAGUGACUGAGGGAAGUUAUAAGUUUUACCAACGAUCUUGGAAUGUGAUGACCAUCGGAAGAAAGAACUGUGUUAAGUCUAUAGCCAGAUGGCUACUUACUACAAGUUUUAACAUUUUACCAACUGACAUGAGGAUAACCACCACAGACUGACAGCUGAAGAACUGCUUCAUCGUUUAGGUGACAUAAUAAUGUUGAUGACCACCACUGCCUUUGGACUGUGUGCCGUUAACUGUAGGACUGUCAAUUAAAGCGAGAUGAAUCGCCACUACAAGUUUGAACUAUUACCAAGUGACAUGUAGGGGAUGUCGAGGAUAACCCCCACAUUUUGGAAUGAAGAAAGAACUGCGUCAUCAUUUGGGUGACAUUUUUCCGUGAUAAUCACCACUGCUUUUAACUGUGAGCCAUUAACUGUCAAUUAAUGGGCCAUCAAUUCUAGCUAGAUGACUCUCCACUACAAGUUUAACUGUCACAAAUGACGUAGUAGUAAUGUUUUACACAAUGCCUUUCGAACUGUCACCAACUGUAGAAAGGACCGUCUCCAGUCUAUAGCCAAAUGAUGCUUCACCUCAACUGAAGCUGGACCAUGAUGGGGCCCAAAAGCCCAGUUCAUACUUCCUGCGAUACCAAUUUUGAUGUGACAAAUUGACAAUGAAUAAUUCACAUCAGUUGACUUGUGCCCAACUCCUGCGAAACUUUUACUGCAAAAACAGCCAUGUGACG